UACGUAGGUGGCAAGCGUUGUCCGGAUUUACUGGGCGUAAAGAGCGCGCAGGCGGUCGUUCAAGUCGCGUGUGAAAGCCCCCGGCUCAACUGGGGAGGGUCACUGCGAUACUGAUCGACUCGAAGGCAGGAGAGGGUAGUGGAAUUCCCGGUGUAGCGGUGAAAUGCGCAGAUAUCGGGAGGAACACCAAUGGCGAAGGCAGCUCGCUGGGACGUUACUGACGCUGAGACGCGAAAGCGUGGGGAGCAAACAGG
rnacentral:rRNA from 1 species